CAUGAAAUACUGUAACUUGGGGAUUGUAAAUGAAUGGAUAAAAUAGGUUAAGGCCCAAGAUGUUUGAAAUGAAUGCAAUAUUAAUAGAUGCAUAUAUACAUGACAUAUUGUGGUUAAUUUUAAAACUACUGUGCCUUAACGUGUUUCUUAAACUUUUGUAGUAAAUGAACAUUUGAAAUCCAUUUUGAUAAACCUGCUGUUAAUGUUUUUUUCCCCCCUUGUGAAUGUUUUCUAACUUUGUCUUGGUAAUUGCAAUUUAACUAGGUGCGGUGGCUACUAAAGUUCGAAGGCACGAUAUGCGUGUCCAUCCUUACCAAAGGAUUGUGACCGCAGACCGAGCCGCCACCGGCAACUAACCUAUGACCUUCUGACCUCUGAACUCUUCACCCAAUGAUGACCUGACCAUGCCUGCCUGCUGAUCAGUUAACUGGUAAUCGCCUUUGCUUGCCUGUCGUCAGUGCAGCGAGCUGAGGCACUUGUCCGUUCGUCUUACCAUCUAACCAAACAAAAGACAAAGAAAUUGUCCUCCAACUCAGCUAUUUUUUUUUUUUUUUUUUUUCUUCCUGUUUGGGUGAAAGUGGUUCUAGAACCUGCACUGAAUAGUAGUAAAGCAAUAAGGCCCAAUUCAUUCCACAGCACUGAUCAUCUUUUAAUAUCCCACCCUAAGCGAACGGUAAGAAGGCCUCUCUUAAGAAGGGGAGACAGAUGGCCCUUAACUAACUACUCAAUGACAGAGGCAGUUACUGUGAGAGACUUCUAGGAAUCUUUUUCUUCUCAUAGCGAAGUCAAAGCUCUCUCUGAAUGUACUGUGUGAUGAUGCAUCAUGCAUGAACCUUCGGUCAGGGAUAUCAUUGGUGAAGUGAUUUCAAAAAGUAUUCAAAAUUUGAUAUGCUGUUUAGUCACUACAGUGCCCUCAAAGGGCAGAAGUUGCAGCCUUUUUUAUAUUGCCUGCCAAAAUUUGAAGUAUUAGAAGAAAGUGUGCCAUGAGAGAAAAACUUAAGGAGUUUUGAAAAGUAAUGCAAAUAACAAAACUGCAACACUAUUUUUAAAAAGAUAAAUAUCUGAGUUAAAAUUACUGAAUCUUUAUUUUACACCUAAAAAAAUAUG
rnacentral:sRNA from 1 species